rnacentral:rRNA from 1 species
GACGAACGCUGGCGGCGUGCUUAACACAUGCAAGUCGAACGGAAAGGCCUGCUUUCCCUUGUGGAUUGCGGGUACUCGAGUGGCGAACGGGUGAGUAACACGUGAGUGAUCUGCCCCCAACUUGGGUAUAAGCCUGGGAAACUGGGUCUAAUUCCCGAUAGGACUGCAGGGUGGUGCCUGUGGUGGAAAACGAUUUUCUAGUGGUUGGGGAUGAGCUCGCGGCCUAUCAGCUUGUUGGUGGGGUAAUGGCCUACCAAGGCGGCGACGGGUAGCCGGCCUGAGAGGGUGGACGGGCACAAUGGGACUGGGAUACGGCCCAGACUCCUACGGGAGGCAGGAGUGGGGAAUAUUGCACAAUGGGCGGAAGCCUGAUGCAGCGACGCCGCGUGGGGGAUGACGGCCUUCGGGUUGUAAACUCCUUUCGACCGCGAGGAAGCCACCUGGUUGGAAGGGUGGUGACGGUAGUGGUAGAAGAAGCACCGGCUAACUACGUG